rnacentral:rRNA from 1 species
GGGAGACACACGGCGGGUGCUAACGUCCGUCGUGAAGAGGGAAACAACCCAGACCGCCAGCUAAGGUCCCAAAGUCAUGGUUAAGUGGGAAACGAUGUGGGAAGGCACAGACAGCCAGGAUGUUGGCUUAGAAGCAGCCAUCAUUUAAAGAAAGCGUAAUAGCUCACUGGUCGAGUCGGCCUGCGCGGAAGAUGUAACGGGGCUAAACCAUGCACCGAAGCUGCGGCAGCGACACUAUGUGUUGUUGGGUAGGGGAGCGUUCUGUAAGCCUGCGAAGGUGUGCUGUGAGGCAUGCUGGAGGUAUCAGAAGUGCGAAUGCUGACAUAAGUAACGAUAAAGCGGGUGAAAAGCCCGCUCGCCGGAAGACCAAGGGUUCCUGUCCAACGUUAAUCGGGGCAGGGUGAGUCGACCCCUAAGGCGAGGCCGAAAGGCGUAGUCGAUGGGAAACAGGUUAAUAUUCCUGUACUUGGUGUUACUGCGAAGGGGGGACGGAGAAGGCUAUGUUAGCCGGGCGACGGUUGUCCCGGUUUAAGCAUGUAGGCUG